rnacentral:rRNA from 1 species
GACGAACGCUGGCGGCGUGCCUAAUACAUGCAAGUAGAACGCUGAAGAGAGGAGCUUGCUCUUCUUGGAUGAGUUGCGAACGGGUGAGUAACGCGUAGGUAACCUGCCUUGUAGCGGGGGAUAACUAUUGGAAACGAUAGCUAAUACCGCAUAACAAUGGAUGACACAUGUCAUUUAUUUGAAAGGGGCAAUUGCUCCACUACAAGAUGGACCUGCGUUGUAUUAGCUAGUAGGUGAGGUAACGGCUCACCUAGGCGACGAUACAUAGCCGACCUGAGAGGGUGAUCGGCCACACUGGGACUGAGACACGGCCCAGACUCCUACGGGAGGCAGCAGUAGGGAAUCUUCGGCAAUGGGGGCAACCCUGACCGAGCAACGCCGCGUGAGUGAAGAAGGUUUUCGGAUCGUAAAACUCUGUUGUAAGUCAAGAACGAGUGUGAGAGUGGAAAGUUCACACUGUGACGGUAGCUUACCAGAAAGGGACGGCUAACUACGUGCCAGCAGCCGCGGUAAUACGUAGGUCCCGAGCGUUGUCCGGAUUUAUUGGGCGUAAAGCGAGCGCAGGCGGUUUGAUAAGUCUGAAGUUAAAGGCUGUGGCUCAACCAUAGUUCGCUUUGGAAACUGUCAAACUUGAGUGCAGAAGGGGAGAGUGGAAUUCCAUGUGUAGCGGUGAAAUGCGUAGAUAUAUGGAGGAACACCGGUGGCGAAAGCGGCUCUCUGGUCUGUAACUGACGCUGAGGCUCGAAAGCGUGGGGAGCGAACAGGAUUAGAUACCCUGGUAGUCCACGCCGUAAACGAUGAGUGCUAGGUGUUGGAUCCUUUCCGGGAUUCAGUGCCGCAGCUAACGCAUUAAGCACUCCGCCUGGGGAGUACGACCGCAAGGUUGAAACUCAAAGGAAUUGACGGGGGCCCGCACAAGCGGUGGAGCAUGUGGUUUAAUUCGAAGCAACGCGAAGAACCUUACCAGGUCUUGACAUCCCGAUGCUAUUUCUAGAGAUAGAAAGUUACUUCGGUACAUCGGUGACAGGUGGUGCAUGGUUGUCGUCAGCUCGUGUCGUGAGAUGUUGGGUUAAGUCCCGCAACGAGCGCAACCCCUAUUGUUAGUUGCCAUCAUUCAGUUGGGCACUCUAGCGAGACUGCCGGUAAUAAACCGGAGGAAGGUGGGGAUGACGUCAAAUCAUCAUGCCCCUUAUGACCUGGGCUACACACGUGCUACAAUGGUUGGUACAACGAGUUGCGAGUCGGUGACGGCAAGCUAAUCUCUUAAAGCCAAUCUCAGUUCGGAUUGUAGGCUGCAACUCGCCUACAUGAAGUCGGAAUCGCUAGUAAUCGCGGAUCAGCACGCCGCGGUGAAUACGUUCCCGGGCCU